CUGGCUCAGGAUGAACGCUAGCUACAGGCUUAACACAUGCAAGUCGAGGGGCAGCAUGAUCUUAGCUUGCUAAGAUUGAUGGCGACCGGCGCACGGGUGAGUAACGCGUAUCCAACCUUCCCUGUACUAGGGGAUAGCCCGGCGAAAGUCGGAUUAAUACCCUAUGUUUUCCGAAGCGAGCAUUUAAUUUGGAACAAAGGUUUACCGGUAUAGGAUGGGGGAUGCGUCUGAUUAGAUAGUAGGCGGGGUAACGGCCCACCUAGUCGACGAUCAGUAGGGGUUCUGAGAGGAAGGUCCCCCCUACAUUGGAACUGAGACACGGUCCAAACUCCUACGGGAGGCAGCAGUGAGGAAUAUUGGUCAAUGGGCGAGAGCCUGAACCAGCCAAGUAGCGUGCAGGAUGACGGCCCUAUGGGUUGUAAACUGCUUUUAUAUAGGGAUAAAGUGAGGGACGUGUCCCUUAUUGUAGGUACUAUAUGAAUAAGGACCGGCUAAUUCCGUGCCAGCAGCCGC
rnacentral:rRNA from 1 species